GGCCUUCCGGUCCCGGUGAGCCCGCUUCCGGCGGCAGCACCGGGGCUCAGGCCUGGCGGCCUCCCGGUACUGCACAGCGUCCUCUGCCCUGUCGCCCGCAGGCAGCGCGGUCUGCUACAGAGAAACGGCGCUGUAACUUUUAAUUCCACAUCAGACGUCUUCCUUCGCAAGCCGCUCCGGAACGCCCUCAGCCACCGGCUGCAGCGGGCCUGGCGGGACGCGGAGAGCAGAGCUCUCCAGCUGCCCUCCCAGCCGCCCUGCGGCCCGCCCCCUCCCGCAGGACCUGUCGCGGCCCAGUGACGUCACGCAGCCAACACAGGGAUGGGACCGCCUGAGAUCCCACCUCAAACGUACGCCGCCUCCAUCCAGAACCAUCUUCUGAGCUUAAUCAAUCCGUAACUAAGCUCAGCUGAUCAGGAACAAUCAAAUUAACGUUAACUCUAAUGAAUGGCAAAUCUCAUCUCACACACAACAACAAAAAUACUGAAACGUGAGAUUAAAGGAGGAAAAUAUUCAGAAUUCAGAUUGAUUCUUAGGAACCUUGCCAGUAUUGUUUAUAAACAAACGCCUUUGCAGGGACGCUGCCUUACCAGACCCGCCGUGAGAAGGGGAAUUGGGUCUUCUGGGGGUUCUGUACAAGCACUGAAGUUCAUGUUUCACUGCAUUAUGCAACGCUGAGCUGCACGUUUUAUAUGGGAUUGGAGGGUUUUAAUGCACACAUCCUGCUGGAUGGAACUGUGACAGAGGCAGCUGCUGGAAGAAAAAAAAGUCCUAAUUCUUUACUACAAACAUCCACUGUGAUUUUAAAAAUACAGGAAAAAACCAGAAUGCUCACACUGACAAAGACAAAACCAAGCUGCUUUAAAACCGACAGCUUAAGGAUAACUUCUGUGAAACAGACACGAGGCCAGAUUCCAUAGAACUCCAUUAAAUCUGCAAUCACA